rnacentral:rRNA from 1 species
UCCGCCCAGGGUUAGUCGGGACCUAAGCCGAGGCCGAUAGGCGUAGGCGAUGGACAACAGGUUGAUAUUCCUGUACCAGUUGUUUUUGUUUGAGCAAUGGAGGGACGCAGUAGGCUAAGGAAUGCAUGCGAUUGGAAGUGCAUGUCCAAGCAAUGAGUCUUGAGUAGAGUUAAAUGCUUUACUCUUUAAGGACAAGUUGUGACGGGGAGCGAAAUAAUAGUAGCGAAGUUCCUGAUGUCACACUGCCAAGAAAAGCUUCUAGUGAGAAAACAACUGCCCGUACCGUAAACCGACACAGGUAGUCGAGGAGAGUAUCCUAAGGUGAGCGAGCGAACUCUCGUUAAGGAACUCGGCAAAAUGACCCCGUAACUUCGGGAGAAGGGGUGCUGACUUCGGUCAGCCGCAGUGAAUAGGCCCAAGCGACUGUUUAUCAAAAACACAGGUCUCUGCAAAAUCGUAAGAUGAAGUAUAGGGGCUGACGCCUGCCCGGUGCUGGAAGGUUAAGAGGAUGGGUUAGCUUCGGCGAAGCUCAGAAUUGAAGCCCCAGUAAACGGCGGCCGUAACUAUAACGGUCCUAAGGUAGCGAAAUUCCUUGUCGG